CUACGGGAGGCAGCAGUGAGGAAUAUUGAUCAAUGGGCGAGAGCCUGAACCAGCCAAGUAGCGUGCAGGAAGACGGCCCUAUGGGUUGUAAACUGCUUUUAUAAGGGAAUAAAGUGAGCCUCGUGAGGUUUUUUGCAUGUACCUUAUGAAUAAGGACCGGCUAAUUCCGUGCCAGCAGCCGCGGUAAUACGGAAGGUCCGGGCGUUAUCCGGAUUUAUUGGGUUUAAAGGGAGGGUAGGCCGGAGAUUAAGCGUGUUGUGAAAUGGAGAUGGUCAACGUUUGCACUGCAGCGCGAACUGGUUUCCUUGAGUACGCACAAAGUGGGCGGAAUUUGUGGUGUAGCGGUGAAAUGCUUAGAUAUCACGAAGAACUCCGAUUGCGAAGGCAGCUCACUGGAGCGCAACUGACGCUGAAGCUCGAAAGUGCGGGUAUCGAACAGGAUUAGAUACCCUGGUAGUCCGCACGGUAAACGAUGGAUGCCCGCUGUUGGUCUGAAUAGGUCAGCGGCCUAGCGAAAGCAUUAAGCAUCCCACCUGGGGAGUACGCCGGCAACGGUGCAACUCAAAGGAAUUGACGGA
rnacentral:rRNA from 1 species